rnacentral:lncRNA from 1 species
UUAAUUUUUAAUUUUUAAUUGUUUAAGAGUGAGGGCCUCACUGUUGCCCAGGCUGGAGUGCAGUGGUGCGAUCUCAGCUCACCUGUAGCCUCCACAUCCUGGGCUCAAUCUAUCCUCCUUGGAGGACAGAAAAAUAAAGGUGUAAGAUACGUUCCUGCCAGGAACGGCCCAUAUCAUGUGACCAGCCCCCAUGGGGGCGGCCUCCUCCUGAGUGACUGGGACCAUCAGUGUGUGCCAUCAUGCCCAGCUGAUUCAAAAACAUAUAUUUUGUAGACACAAGGUCUCCCCAUGUUGCCUAGGUAGGUCUCAAACUCUUGGGAUUUCAGAGGGUUCAAGUGACCCCCCGUCCUGGGGUUGCAGGCGCGAGUGACCCGCCUGCCUUGGCCUCUCCCCAUCCUGGGGUUGCAGGCAUGAGCCCCUGUGCCUGGCCUUGACCUUCUAGAAUGACGCGGAGACUUUUGAGCCUGUUGGCUCUGCCUGCUCUUUUUCCAGUUCACGUACUCUUAUCUGGAGUUUGGUCCUGUUCGUUCUAAAUCCUGCAAAUUGGACAUUAAAAAAACCAAAAGUAAGAGGAUCUCCCUGUGUUGCCCAGGCUGGUCUCAAACUCCUGGGCUAAAGGGAUCUGCCUGCCGCAGCCUCCCAGCAUGCCGGGAUUACAGGUACAAGCCCCAGUGCCCGGCCAAAUUGGACGUUAUUACUUCCUUUCCAAAAGAGUGGUUUACAUUUUCCUCACCACACACGGUUUGUGCCUCCACCCCGGGUCCCGCGUUCCCUGCUGUCCUGACUGCGUCUUUAACCUUCGUACCGUUGGUCCGGCCUGUUGGCGAUGUGCUGGGGCAGGAGGCCUUGCCCGUGCCCGCCCCCCGACUCUGAUUGUGUCUGUUUUUCCUUGGUGCCACUUUAUUUGGGUCUUUUCUGCCCAGGACAUGGCCCACCUGGACCUAGAGCUCUGUGACAUUUCUGUGAAGCCUCCGUCUACCUUUGGGACUCAGCAGAGGAAGAGCAGCUGCCGGGUCCUGGAGGAGGGGGCCUGGGAAUCGCUGGCAGGCGUCACUCCUGCGACCUCCGACCCCUCCCCGCAUGGCUCCUGCGAGGGCCACCGCGUGAGUCCUGGGGCUGCUGUCCUCACGCCUCAGACCUGAUUCUGGGGACCGCGGUGAAGGCGUGGCAGGCGGGCAUCACUCCCUUCCCCCACCUCCAUCGCUGCCUCUCUCUGGGUCUGCGUCCUCUUCUCACAGGGACAGCAGUCGUUGACUCUCCCUGAUCCAGGAGGGUCUCUCCAGAUCCUUCCCCUACAGCAGAGACCCGGCUCGUGGGGAGGGACU